CCUGCCCAUAGGGGUGUCCCAGGUGUGUCUGCUGUGUCACAUGUGUUUGAGUAGGUAGCAGAGAGGAAAGAGGCUAGGUCUAAACUCAGUAUUCUGACCUGUGAACAUCUGAAUGAUUAGUAGCCUAACACU
ensembl:snoRNA LOC120097239 small nucleolar RNA SNORA17